rnacentral:rRNA from 1 species
GGCGUAAAGCGCGCGCAGGCGGAUUGGUCAGUCUGUCUUAAAAGUUCGGGGCUUAACCCCGUGAUGGGAUGGAAACUGCCAAUCUAGAGUAUCGGAGAGGAAAGUGGAAUUCCUAGUGUAGCGGUGAAAUGCGUAGAUAUUAGGAAGAACACCAGUGGCGAAGGCGACUUUCUGGACGAAAACUGACGCUGAGGCGCGAAAGCCAGGGGAGCGAACGGGAUUAGAUACCCCGGUAGUCCUGGCCGUAAACGAUGGGUACUAGGUGUAGGAGGUAUCGACCCCUUCUGUGCCGGAGUUAACGCAAUAAGUACCCCGCCUGGGGAGUACGACCGCAAGGUUGAAACUCAAAGGAAUUGACGGGGGCCCGCACAAGCGGUGGAGUAUGUGGUUUAAUUCGACGCAACGCGAAGAACCUUACCAGGUCUUGACAUUGAUGGACAGAACUAGAGAUAGUUCCUCUUCUUCGGAAGCCAGAAAACAGGUGGUGCACGGUUGUCGUCAGCUCGUGUCGUGA